CGCAUGGCUCUCUCGGUUCUACAUCCUGUGCAUAUCCGCGGGCGCGCGGGGGCGACCCUGGUGGCCAGUGGCGAACGGGUGAGUAAUACAUCGCAACGUGUCCUGUAGUGGGGGAUAGCCCGGCGAAAGCCGGAUUAAUACCGCAAACGCUCUACGGAGGAAAGGGGGGGAUCUUAGGACCUCCCGCUGCAGGGGCGGCCGAUGGCAGAUUAGCUAGUUGGUGGGGUAAAGGCCUACCCUGGCGACUAUCUGUAGCUGGUCUGAGAGGACGACCAGCCACACUGGGACUGAGACACGGCCCAGACUCCUACGGGAGGCAGCAGUGGGGAAUUUUGGACAAUGGGGGCAACCCUGAUCCAGCAAUGCCGCGUGUGUGAAGAAGGCCUUCGGGUUGUAAAGCACUUUUGUCCGGAAAGAAAACGCCGUGGUUAAUACCCGUGGCGGAUGACGGUACCGGAAGAAUAAGCACCGGCUAACUACGUGCCAGCAGCCGCGGUAAUACGUAUGGUGCAAGCGUUAAUCGGAAUUACUGGCGUAAAGCGUGCGCAGGCGGUCCGCUAGACAGAUGUGAAAUCCCCAGGCUUAACCUGGGAACUGCAUUUGUGACUGGCGGGCUAGAGUAUGGCAAAGGGGGUAGAAUUCCACGUGUAGCAUGAAAUGCGUAGAGUUUGGAGGAAUACCGAUGGCGAAGCAGCCCCUGGGCCAUACUGACCCUUAUGCAAAAAGCUUGGGA
rnacentral:rRNA from 1 species